rnacentral:rRNA from 1 species
CCUACGGGAGGCAGCAGUGGGGAAUAUUGCGCAAUGGGCGAAAGCCUGACGCAGCAACGCCGCGUGCGGGAUGAAGGCCUUCGGGUUGUAAACCGCUUUCAGCAGGGAAGAAGCGAAAGUGACGGUACCUGCAGAAGAAGCACCGGCUAACUACGUGCCAGCAGCCGCGGUAAU